GACGAACGCUGGCGGCGUGCUUAACACAUGCAAGUCGAACGGAAAGGCCCUGCUUUUGUGGGGUGCUCGAGUGGCGAACGGGUGAGUAACACGUGAGUAACCUGCACCUGACUUUGGGAUAACUUCAGGAAACUGGGGCUAAUACCGGAUAGGAGCUCCUGCUGCAUGGUGGGGGUUGGAAAGUUUCGGCGGUUGGGGAUGGACUCGCGGCUUAUCAGCUUGUUGGUGGGGUAGUGGCUUACCAAGGCUUUGACGGGUAGCCGGCCUGAGAGGAGAACCGGCCACAUUGGGACGGAGAUACGGCCCAGACUCCUACGGUAGGCAGCAGUGGAGAAUAUUGCACAAUGGGCGGAAGCCUGAUGCAGCAACGCCGCGUGCGGGAUGACGGCCUUCGGGUUGUGAUCCGCUUUCGCCUGUGACGAAGCGUGAGUGACGGUAAUGGGUAAAGAAGCACCGGCUAACUACGUG
rnacentral:rRNA from 1 species